rnacentral:rRNA from 1 species
UACGUAGGGACCAAGCGUUAAUCGGAAUUACUGGGCGUAAAGGGCUCGUAGGCGGCCAACUAAGUCAGACGUGAAAUCCCUCGGCUUAACCGGGGAACUGCGUCUGAUACUGGAUGGCUUGAGUGUGGGAGAGGGAUGCGGAAUUCCAGGUGUAGCGGUGAAAUGCGUAGAUAUCUGGAGGAACACCGGUGGCGAAGGCGGCAUCCUGGACCAUUACUGACGCUGAUGAGCGAAAGCCAGGGGAGCAAACGGG